rnacentral:rRNA from 1 species
AGAGUUUGAUCAUGGCUCAGGACGAACGCUGGCGGCGUGCUUAACACAUGCAAGUCGAACGGAAAGGCCCUUCGGGGUACUCGAGUGGCGAACGGGUGAGUAACACGUGGGUGAUCUGCCCUGCACUCUGGGAUAAGCCUGGGAAACUGGGUCUAAUACCGGAUAGGACCGCAUGCUUCAUGGUGUGUGGUGCAAAGCUUUUGCGGUGUGGGAUGGGCCCGCGGCCUAUCAGCUUGUUGGUGGGGUAAUGGCCUACCAAGGCGACGACGGGUAGCCGGCCUGAGAGGGUGUCCGGCCACACUGGGACUGAGAUACGGCCCAGACUCCUACGGGAGGCAGCAGUGGGGAAUAUUGCACAAUGGGCGCAAGCCUGAUGCAGCGACGCCGCGUGGGGGAUGACGGCCUUCGGGUUGUAAACCUCUUUCAGUAUCGGCGAAGCUCCAGGAUUUUUCUUGGGGUGACGGUAGGUACAGAAGAAGCACCGGCCAACUACGUGCCAGCAGCCGCGGUAAUACGUAGGGUGCGAGCGUUGUCCGGAAUUACUGGGCGUAAAGAGCUCGUAGGUGGUUUGUCACGUUGUCCGUGAAAACUCACAGCUUAACUGUGGGCGUGCGGGCGAUACGGGCAGACUGGAGUACUGUAGGGGAGACUGGAAUUCCUGGUGUAGCGGUGGAAUGCGCAGAUAUCAGGAGGAACACCGGUGGCGAAGGCGGGUCUCUGGGCAGUAACUGACGCUGAGGAGCGAAAGCGUGGGGAGCGAACAGGAUUAGAUACCCCGGUAGUCCAA